UAAUGUAGUAGUUUUGGUUGAACUGUAGGGGGCAGGAAUACACCCAUGUCAGGUGGAGUGUGCCUAAAAUACAUCUGAGGAAGAAGAAGUAGCGCCAGCAGCAGCAGCGUUAAUGAGGAUAGUUUGGUUUGUAGCCGUAGGCUGUGAAGAGUGAACGGCAUAGAAGAACAGCACGGAACAGCACCGCCUGGUCUGUCUUCGCUUGUUGUGUUUCGUGAAUGAAUGUCCUCGUGAAGCCUGGUCCAGAGAGUGGACGCUGCCAUCACAUUUCUGCUGGUCUCCGUCCUGUCAUCUCAGUGGACGGUCACCUCCUCCUGUGCGACUGUGUCUGUUGAGUGUUGUGCAUGUAUGUGUGUAAAAUCCCUCUUGGCCAGUGUCUGAGUGUGUGUAGCUCUUAAUUAGUGUAUGUGAGUGUGUAUGCAUGUGUGUCUGCCAUUCCCUCCCUGUCCACCAUGUCCCUGCAUCCCCCAAAGUUACACCUGAAUCCUGUGGUGUGUCUUCACCUCCUCUUCCUGCUGCUGCUCCUCAGUGACUCCACGUCGUCCUCCUCCUCCUCCAGAGAUGAUGUGAAACGUUCAGGCAACUCCCUAACCCAGCUCAACACAACACAGGCCAACUGCUCCACUCCAUGUAAUACUGGUGUCAGUGAAAAUGUAACAAAGACCAGUGAUGUGAAGCCUGUGACACAACAGAAGAGUUUGUCUUCAGAACCUAGCGGUGUGAACAUAAACCAGUCCUCCUCUUUACCCAGUACCCACACCACUGUCAGCCACAAAUUAAAUGACUUUUCACCGCUCUCAAUACCGCUGAACAAAUCUGCAGGAGGAAACCAUUCUACUACUGCUUCACCUACAGGUUUGACUGAACAGGAGGGCCAUACCACGGAAUCCAUUACAGACACCCAUACUACUACUAGUACAAUAACAAAAACAACAACAACAACAACAACAACAACAACACCAGUGCCUACAACAAAAACACUAACAAAGCCAUCAACACCAGUGCCCACAGCGACAACAGCAUCAACGACGACGACGACAACAACGACGACACUGUCUACAGCAACACCAGUGCCUACAACAACCCCAGCGCCUACCACAACACCAACACUGACUACAACCACAACAACACCAAUGCCUACA